GGUGGAUGGUGUGCAUGGUGUCAGUCCAUGUUAUGUGCUGUUGCCGGACUGUGUUUUGCAGGCUGUGCAGCAGUGCUCACUCCACACCUGCAGCCAUAGACAAAGUGGAGAUCAUAGUACUGGCCCUUGACGUCUUUAUUGACUUCUCACCAUCGGUCAGCCUCCAAACUCUCCUACAUGC